UUAAAAAGAGAGAGAGAGAGAGAGAGACGGCGAGAGUGAGAAAGAAGAAAUGAAAAAGAGUCUAUAAUUAAUUAGCUCUUUUUGAAUGCAUGAAUAUCUUAUUCUGUAAUUUUUUUUUUAUUUACUUUAAAGCUUUAACUAUUUGAUAUCUGAAAAAUAUGAUCAAAUGUACAAAAUAGAAUAACAUAUUUGGCCUCUUAAGUUAUCUUUUUGCAUUAAAAUAAAUUACUUUAUUGGUAAAAUAUGCUAUCUCAUCGAAUCAUAAAUAUCAAUAUCUUUUAAGGAGUAAAAAUCAAACACCUGUUUUUCAAUCACGCAAGAAAACUUCAUAUUAUCAUUGAAUAAAUUAUUCCAACGUCCAAAGAAACCGUUAGUCUUAUCAGUAAACUUCAAUUUGCCUCCUUGUAGUUCAGCAUAUUUUUUACUUUGUUAUUCCGUAAUUCAAAAAAUUGUACCUAACCAGUUUGUUAUUUUAUUAUUACAUCACUGUUAAAAUAUGCCGUUAAACGGAUUAGCAAACUGAUAAUAAUAAAGCACGAAUUAUAAAUGGUAAAAUAUUAUAUUAUACUGCUCUGUGAUUUGCAAACCACUUAACUUUUAAAUCAUAAGAUGAUUGAGU
rnacentral:lncRNA from 1 species